rnacentral:rRNA from 1 species
AACCUCCGCAAUGUGAGAAAUCGCGACGGGGGGAUCCCAAGUGCCAUUCUUAACGGGAUGGCUUUUCUUAAGUGUAAAAAGCUUUUGGAAUAAGAGCUGGGCAAGACCGGUGCCAGCCGCCGCGGUAACACCGGCAGCUCGAGUGGUAGCUGUUUUAUUGGGCCUAAAGCGUUCGUAGCCGGUUUGAUAAGUCUUUGGUGAAAGCUUGUAGCUUAACUAUAAGAAUUGCUGGAGAUACUAUCAGACUUGAAGUCGGGAGAGGUUAGAGGUACUACCGGGGUAGGGGUGAAAUCCUAUAAUCCUGGGAGGACCACCUGUGGCGAAGGCGUCUAACUGGAACGAUCUUGACGGUGAGUAACGAAAGCCAGGGGCGCGAACCGGAUUAGAUACCCGGGUAGUCCUGGCCGUAAACGAUGUGGACUUGGUGUUGGAAUGGCUUUGAGUUGUCCGGUGCCGAAGGGAGCUGUUAAGUCCACCGCCUGGGAAGUACGGUCGCAAGACUGAAACUUAAGGAAUU